UACGUAGGUGGCAAGCGUUGUCCGGAAUUAUUGGGCGUAAAGCGCGCGCAGGUGGUUCUUUAAGUCUGAUGUGAAAGCCCCCGGCUCAACCGGGGAGGGUCAUUGGAAACUGGGGAACUUGAGUGCAGAAGAGGAAAGUGGAAUUCCACGUGUAGCGGUGAAAUGCGUAGAGAUGUGGAGGAACACCAGUGGCGAAGGCGACUUUCUGGUCUGUAACUGACACUGAGGCGCGAAAGCGUGGGGAGCGAACAGG
rnacentral:rRNA from 1 species